AUUGAACGCUGGCGGCAUGCCUUACACAUGCAAGUCGAACGGAUUCAAGGGGCUUGCUCCUUGAGUUAGUGGCGAACGGGUGAGUAAUGCAUCGGAACGUGCCCAGUCGUGGGGGAUAACGUAGCGAAAGUUACGCUAAUACCGCAUACGUCCUGAGGGAGAAAGCGGGGGACCGAAAGGCCUCGCGCGAUUGGAGCGGCCGAUGUCAGAUUAGCUAGUUGGCGAGGUAAAAGCUCACCAAGGCGACGAUCUGUAGCUGGUCUGAGAGGAUGAUCAGCCACACUGGGACUGAGACACGGCCCAGACUCCUACGGGAGGCAGCAGUGGGGAAUUUUGGACAAUGGGGGAAACCCUGAUCCAGCCAUGCCGCGUGAGUGAAGAAGGCCUUCGGGUUGUAAAGCUCUUUCGGACAGAAAGAAAUCGGACGGGUGAAUAAUCCGUCUGGAUGACGGUACUGUAAGAAGAAGCACCGGCUAACUACGUGCCAGCAGCCGCCGUAAAAC
rnacentral:rRNA from 1 species